rnacentral:lncRNA from 1 species
UUCUUUUAUUUAAGAUCUGUAUGAGAAACUUGAAGUUUAUGCUGUUUCUUUUUUUCUAUUUCUCCCUCCCAGAAUUUUUGGGGUCCAAAUUCUACACUCCUGAUUUAAGAUCUCCAAGUUUAAGACGCGUCUUUAUGGUUUCCAUGAGCAUAGAUGGAUGAUGCAUCUAAAUCUGUAAAGCCAAAGAAAUCCAGAAUUAGAAGGCAGCAAAUUGUGGUCUUUAAAAUCCUCAAGAGAGGCCUUGAUGUGACAUGUGCUAACUUUGGAUAUCAGAAAAAUGCCAGGAAUUGGAUGCUCCAUUCCAGUAACAGGGUUUACAUUUUGGGGGAAAACCUACUAGUUUAAGGAAACAAAUGAAAGACCUUCUGGUUUGAAUAUUUAUUUUAAUGAGAAGAAAGCCCAUUUGGAUGAGAAAGGUGAAGAAAAAGCAAGUUUAUGCUCCCCUGAUGUGCUCUAUGAUCACGUCUGUCUUACCCAGCUCUAAUUUUCUUUGAUUUUAACUCAUCUGUAUGACCAGACAUCUGUGAGUAUUUAUGCCUUUUUUGGUUAUGUGCUGUCCCAUUCUGGCUAUCCAUCAAAUCCAGAACAGACUUCCCAGCAACGUUUUGUACAAAAUGUAGAGUAGAAUGAUAACUGAUUAGCAUUACGUGAUAAAUGGACAUUCUUCAGCUGAAACUGUAAAGUGCAAAACAGCUGAGACAACAUAUGAGCAGGAAAUAUAGUGCACAGUCUGUCUCUUGGUUCCUGUUCACGCAGCUAAUUUUUUACAGCUACAAUUCAAAACUGUAUGCGGCUUGGGUGUAUAUUCUAGCCAACAAAUUUUAAAAAAUAGGCAGACUCCCUUUUGUUUGCACAUAUUUGGGGGAAGACAUUUUGAUGGCACACUACUAGGAGGAUAUGUUUCUUGGUGGCAAAUAGCAAAAGGUAAUAGUCACUGUUGCUGAUUUCAAGAAUUCUGCUCAAAAUCCUGAAGAAUAGCUCUCCCCAAAGAAAUGCUCUCUGUCGACCAAGUCUCAUUUUAUUUUCACAACUCAGUUAGUCCUUUGAUGAAUCUCUGAAAUAGAGAGAUUUAUAUUUAAAAAACAAAAGCCUACAAAGUAAGUGAGAAAGUGAGACUGGGUGGGGGCUGAAAUGGGCGCCCCGUCAAAGGGCCCCAGCUAGUCACCAACAGGCAAUUGUUUCUCUCCACUAAUGAGUGGACCAGUG